CUGCUCCAGAAGCCAAAGCUGAUGUGCCAGCCAGGGAGCCCACACCAGUCCCACCCCUUGGGGAAGUUGCCAGGAAUUAUCCUAGGCUCUUCAGACUGGAGCCACUAGGUGACAGCUCUGCAGGACAAGCUCAAAGGGCCUCCUGGCCCUGCAGGCUUCCCACAUCAUAUCCCUGGAGAUGAACCCUGGGUUGGAAUGGUCGGGUGGUCAGAUGCAACCCUGGAAACUUGGAGUUCUGAGCCUGGAGUGAGUGGCACUCUGAGGGUGUUCUGUUGGCCUUAUUCCUGAACAAGGCACCUGCUGGCUUAGAGGAAGACACCUGAACAAGUUUGUGCAUCAGGGACUUCAGAUCUGCAAAGAAGAAUACAAGAUGGCCCCAGGGCUCAGAGCCAGCAUUGCAAAGCUGUGGAGGUGCUGCCAGCAGAGUGCUCUGUCCGAUGGAGACCGAAGAGGUACUGCUGACUGUCCAGCUCUGAGCAGAGACCCCACUGGGGAGCCCUCAGGGUCCGUGGCAGCCCCAACCAGGAGAUGUCCAGCGGCAGCCUGCUUGGCUCUCAGCUCUCCUCACUGGAAGCUCUCUGCGAGCCAGCCCGGUCCCCACGGAGACUUCACCUGUCCAUAUCGUUCAACUGCCUGCAACUUCCAACUGACGAACAUCCACAGCUCUGCAGCCCAGUGACAAACACCAUCUAACAGAUAAGGCUUCUGAAAAGUCAAAGCCAAUACUGCUUCCAUUGAAAAUUUAAUGCUGGCUCCAUCUUUGCCCAUCAUUCUUCUGACUGUUGCACAUAUCCCAAGAGGCCCUUGAAGCUAAAGCACUGCUCUAUAACAGGUAAUGACGUGGCAUUUAAUGAUACUGUCCAAAGUGAUCCUGGGCUUUGGGAAGUAAUGUGCUCUCAUGUACCAGAUAAGCACCGCCAAACGUACUGAGCUGCUGUAUCUUUCACGGCCCUGUCACCAGAUACAAUGUGACACAUCCCCAGCCAUCCUACCUGCUACUCCUCCGACCCAGCAAUCAGACAAAACGCGCAUUUUCAGAGCAGAGCUCCUAAGCGUUAAGGGAAUUCAAGCAAAGGUAGAAUGGUAACAUAUCUGUAAUUAAGUAUUCACAGCCUCUUUAAUACUUCAGUGCUCUUGGAUUCGCUACUAAAAUCUGUGAAUUAUACCUCAUUGAAAAAUGUCCUUAAUCGACUCUGACAUGUUUUAUUGGAGGCAGAAAAAAUGUUUCAGUAUGAUAGAUAAGGUUAAAAAUGUUACCACUCUGAUCAUUUACUCUAGUGCCUGGCAAAAAAAAAUCCUCCAAAGCCAAAAACCAUUUACAUCAUUCAUAGGAUGCAAUAGAGAAAAAAAAAGCCUUAUCUGACAGCCCAUUUUCGCUGAUGGGACAAAGUGCACAUUUUCAAUUUUCUGACAAAGUUAUGUUGUUUAUGUAGAUAAGAGGAAAAACAACUGUAACAUUUCCACAACAUGCCAUAAGGCCUGGAAAUGUGACUUCAACUGUGAAGUAUCCCCAAGCCAUGAGGAGCAUUCCACAACUUAGCAGACAUCACCUUUAAUGCUUCAGACCAAAUCUCCUGCACUGGCAUCUCCCUCCUCUGCAGCGGGUUUUCAAAGAGCCCCAGAGCUCCUCUAGGGUGUGUCACGUGACAACUCUGCAAGUACAAAAACUCUUUCUCUCCUUGGCUUCAGCCCAAAGAGUUUGCAAAGGGAAACAUAGAAGCCAUGAAAUAGAGACCCCUUUAAAGGCUUGCUUUUUCUUCUGUACUUUGGCUGAUAUUGCUGACCCCAGAGUUGGGAAUCCAAACUCCUAAUGGUCCACAUUAAACCUGGGUACAACCUAUAACAUAAGACAGUCUACAAAUCCUGUUACCUCUUCACCUUCUUCCAGACUCCACUUACUUGUCCUCCUAGGCAGACCCACAACUACCCUUUACAAUGAUAAAAAGCCCCAGCACAGCAGAGCGUCUGGGAGGCUGUGUUCCAACCUGUAUGGUCGGUGACAAAUCUUUGGUCUAAUACUAGGGGGAUGCAUGAUCUUGGGCAAGAGACUUAAUCUCCCUGUGCCUCAGUGUGCUGAUCUGUAAAAGAAUGACAAUGGUUGAAGUGACAGUCUGCCACAGUCACAUUCCUAAUGCCCUUGUAACAGAGGUCGGCAUGUGGUUGGCGUGGAAGGAAUGUUCUUUCUGACUUGUGUGCGUGACUGCAGACUGAAUCCUGCAGAGUGGCUGCUCCAAAAUAUGUCACCAACAUUCCAUCGGUAUUUUCUAAAAGUAAGUCUCUCUUAGGCCAGUUACAGACAGGAUUGUUUUCCAAAUAGACUCCUGCCCUUUGGGAUUGAAGUUCGUUAUUAACCUGUAGGCACUCACCUUCGUAGUCCAGAUCUGGGGAAAAGAAUCUCAGCAGAUUUCCUGAGCCAGACUACUAGGUCAGACAAAGCCAGGAUCUCUGAGGAAAAGGUUACAGAUCAAACAGUAUAAUUAAACAACAAAUGGUACACAGAUCAAGAGGGAAAUGACACAAAAACUAAAAUUUUGCUUCUUUCCAAAUGUGUUGUCCUGAGUGUCCCAUAAAUAUCUUGCUUCUCUAAAGGCCAAAAUCAAUUGGGUGGGUAGGACUUGCAGAUGUGUUUGGCCUGACAUAUACAAAGUACAUGUUUUCAAAAUGUUCAAUUAGUUGUCACUACAGAGCCUUUAUUUACCACAAUGUCCAACCUCAGAAGACAGCAGCCCAUGAACUGGAUUAAAUGGCAUCCCCCAGAGUUAUGGGGUGCAGCUAUCAUAAACUACAGAUUGAGCAUCUUUUAUCCAAAUGCUUUGAGACCAAAAGUGUUUUGGGUUUUUUUUUUUAAUUUGGGAAUAUUUUGCAUAUUAUAAAUAAUGAGAUGUCUUGGGGAUGGAAGUCUAAGCACCAAGUUUAUUUGUGUUCCAUACAUACAUUAUACACAUAGCCUGAAGGUAGUUUUAUACAAUUUUUAAAAAUAAUUUCAUGUGUGAAGCAAAGCCUCAUGUUGUGAAACUUUCCAUUUGUGACAUCAUGUUUGCUCGCAAAAAUAUUUGGAUUUGGGGGUAUCAGAUUUCAGAAUUUUGGGUUACAGAUAACUCAAUCUACAGUUAGAUACAUUUAAAACUUAGGAAAUUCCACAGGAAAAUACAUUGUCUUUGAGGGAAAAAUUCAGGACUUUUCUAAACCUAUUUUCUGAUUCUAUCAAAUGUAACAACUGCAUUCUACCUACCUGGUUACUGCUCAGUGAGACUCAAGGUUUGGGGAAAUAUAAGAAAUCAUCACAGACUAGAGAUACUUGACAAUCAUGAUGACUAAAUUUCAUAUGGCAUCUUAAACUGGAUCCUGGGGCAGAAAAAGAGCAUUAGUGGGAAAAACAGGUGAUGUCCAAAUAUAUCAAUUUGGUAGUUUACUUCACAAAUGUACUCUGAUAAUGGAAGUUGCUAAUAUCGAGGAAAAUAGGUAAAGUAUACAUGGGAACAUUUAAUAUUAUUUUUGCAACUUUUCUAUUAAUCUAAAAUUAUUCUAAAAUAAAACAUUUAUUUAAAACAAAACAAAGAAUAGUGUGUGUUUCUUAUACAUGCCACACUUUAACCAUUAGUUUCUGUGCCUAGAGCCUGGAGCCUUGUGAAUCUGGGACUGUCCUGCUUUCCUGCUGCAAGACAAGUGUCUACAGCACCCCAAGUGAUACCAUAUCUCUAUUUCCUGGUGGGGGGAUCUCUGAUCAUUAUUAUCAAGCCCAACUCCUUCCCUUGGUUUGGGGGUCUAUGUGAUGCAGAAAAGAAAAGCACAGACAGGGAGCAUCCUGUUUCCUGAAGCUUAUUUCUCACACCACUGCUGACCAAAAGGAACUCAAGCAUCACAUUUGCUCAGUGGCAGCAUUAUCGACCCUGUGACAGCUCUCACAUUGACCCACAGCUGCUUGCUAG
ensembl:lncRNA